rnacentral:rRNA from 1 species
UGACACAGGGAGGUAGUGACAAGAAAUAACAAUACGGGGCUUWAUGUCUUGUAAUUGGAAUGAUGGGAAUUUAAACCUCUUCCAGAGUAUCAAUUGGAGGGCAAGUCUGGUGCCAGCAGCCGCGGUAAUUCCAGCUCCAAUAGCGUAUAUUAAAAUUGUUGCAGUUAAAAAGCUCGUAGUUGAAUUUCUGCUGCUUUGUUUUAKCUCUUUGAUGGGCUUUUGCACUGCGGCUUUUUUCGGUCUUCGCUUCUGCGUUGUCCGGAUGUUUACUUUGAGAAAAUUAGAGUGCUCAAAGCAGGCUUUUGCCUUGAAUAGUUUAGCAUGGAAUAAUAAAGUAGGACUUUGGUUCUAUUUUGUUGGUUUUAGGUACCAAAGUAAUGGUUAAUAGGAACAGUUGGGGG